UACGUAGGGUGCAAGCGUUGUCCGGAAUUAUUGGGCGUAAAGAGCUCGUAGGCGGUCUGUCGCGUCUGCUGUGAAAUCUCAGGGCUUAACCCUGAGCUUGCAGUGGGUACGGGCAGACUAGAGUGCGGUAGGGGGAGACUGGAAUUCCUGGUGUAGCGGUGAAAAUGCGCAGAUAUCAGGAGGGAACACCGGUGGCGAAAGGCGGGGUCUCUGGGCCU
rnacentral:rRNA from 1 species